rnacentral:rRNA from 1 species
GAUGAACGCUAGCGAUAGGCCUAACACAUGCAAGUCGAGGGGCAUCACAUGAAGUAGCAAUACGGAUGGUGGCGACCGGCGCACGGGUGAGUAACACGUAUGCAACCUGCCUUCAACAAGGGGAUAACCCGUUGAAAGACGGACUAAUACCCUAUAACACAGGGGUCCCGCAUGGGAAUAUUUGUUAAAGGACAACCGGUUGAAGAUGGGCAUGCGUUCCAUUAGCUAGUUGGCGGGGUAACGGCCCACCAAGGCAACGAUGGAUAGGGGAACUGAGAGGUUUAUCCCCCACACUGGUACUGAGACACGGACCAGACUCCUACGGGAGGCAGCAGUGAGGAAUAUUGGUCAAUGGACGCAAGUCUGAACCAGCCACGUCGCGUGAAGGAAGACGGCCCUACGGGUUGUAAACUUCUUUUAUACGGGAAUAAAGUGCCCCACGCGUGGGGUUUGCAUGUACCGUAUGAAUAAGGAUCGGCUAACUCCGUGCCAGCAGCCG